GACGAACGCUGGCGGCGUGCUUAACACAUGCAAGUCGAACGGAAAGGCCCUGAUUUUGUGGGUUGCUCGAUUGGCGAACGGGUGAGUAACACGUGAGUAACCUGCCCUUGACUUUGGGAUAACUUCAGGGAACUGGGGCUAAUACCGGAUAGGAGCUCCUGCUGCAUGGUGGGGGUUGGUAAGUUUCGGCGGUUGUGGAUGGACUCGCGGCUUAUCAGCUUGUUGGUGGGGUAGUGGCUUACCAAGGCUUUGACGGGUAGCCGGCAUUAGAGGGUGACCGGCCACAUGGGGACUGAGAGAGGCACCAGACUCGUACGGGAGGCAGCAGUGGGGAAUAUGGCGGAAUGGCGGGAAGUGUGAUACAGCAGCGCCGGGUGCGUGAUGACGGCCUUCGGGGGGUGAACCGAUUUCGCCUGUGCCGAAGCGUGAGUGACGGUAAUGGGUAAGGAAGCACCGGCUAACUACGUG
rnacentral:rRNA from 1 species